GUAGGUGAACCUGCGGAAGGAUCAUUAACACGUAUCCACGUUAUCAACCAAUUGGCAUCCUAUGUUCUCUACCCGUCGCCCCAUCGAGACAGUGCGUUGUGUGCUUAAGUGCUGCAGCCCUCUAUCCUUGGCUCGUUCGUUCUCUUCUGGUCUCCGCUUAGGCCUGACUGCUGAGAGUGGACACACACAACUCUACCACACUAACAUUCCUUACAUUAUGUUGUCUUAAUAUAUGUUGCUCUCGUAUCGUGCUAGUCAUGAUGUGUUAGUCGCACGUUUAUUUACUUGAACGUUAAAAUACAACUCUUAGCAAUGGAUAUCUUGGUUCUC
rnacentral:misc_RNA from 1 species